UGUGUGUGUGUGUGUAGGGACGUUGUCCUUUUGUUUUUCUAGAACAAUUUCCAUAAGUCCUCAUUCGUCCACUUAGCAGCUGUAUGAUUGGGGGCAAGUUUCUUUACGCAGAAAGUGGAAGCAAUAAUGGUACAUCACACGCGGCGUUGUUGUGGGGACCGAGUGAGGGAACGCCUGGAAGAGCACGGCACGUGGUCCAAGACCAAGAUAUUAGCUAUUAUUACUAUCACAGUUAUUAGAAGUACAGGUAAGUGGCUCUUUGUCUGAGCAGCUGCUGGAAUUCCACCUUCUCUCACAAUACCCUCAGGUCACGUGAGGUGAGCGAGCAUUCACUCAGCGCUCAGUACCUGCCACGCACUGAGGGGACACGGAGGAGUCUGACAUGUUGAUCUUGCCCUUGGGUAGCCUGCCUUCUAGCAGGGAAGACAAACCUCAGUGGUCUCCGGUGAUGCAGGAUGCUGUGGGGACCAGUGGGGCAGCAUGUCAUCCAGUCUGGGGUGCAGGAAUGCUGCCUGGAGGAGUGGAUGCAUCUGAGCUGAGUCUUAAAGGUGGAGCAGAGGUCAUCCAGGUCUUCUGCCAUCAGUAACGAAUUAUUAAAAGGAUAUUUAGUAGGUCACGCAAGGUGAAAGAGGACUGGCAAAAGGAGACGGUGCAAACCCAAGUGGAUGGAGAAGCUGGAGAGGGAGAAGACAUCUUCAAGGGGGAACACAAAGCUUUUCCUGACUUCCAUGGAUUUCUCCAGAGCCUUGGCUUUUGGAAAUUCUACCAGAAUGACGGCUGCAUUUUUAGUGGUGGAAAUUAUUGAUAUGUCUCAAAAGCAAGGAAUCAGAGAAUAUCUGUUUUCCAGAGGCAAUGUAUGACUUCCACCAAAGCCACACCAGUAUUUCUAAUACCUUAAUGAGUUUUUUUUUCAUAAGAACAGAACUAAGAUUCCUA